UACGUAGGGUGCGAGCGUUGUCCGGAAUUAUUGGGCGUAAAGGGCUCGUAGGCGGUUUGUCACGUCGGGAGUGAAAACUCGGGGCUCAACCCCGAGCCUGCUUCCGAUACGGGCAGACUAGAGGUAUGCAGGGGAGAACGGAAUUCCUGGUGUAGCGGUGAAAUGCGCAGAUAUCAGGAGGAACACCGGUGGCGAAGGCGGUUCUCUGGGCAUUACCUGACGCUGAGGAGCGAAAGCGUGGGGAGCAAACAGG
rnacentral:rRNA from 1 species